GCCGAAGUGGUGAAAUUGGCAAACACGCUAUGUUCAGGGCGUAGUGGGCGUAAGCCCUUGUGGGUUCAAGUCCCACCUUCGGCA
rnacentral:tRNA from 1 species